GACGAACGCUGGCGGCGUGCUUAACACAUGCAAGUCGAACGGAAAGGCCUGCUUUCCCUUGUGGAUUGCGGGUACUCGAGUGGCGAACGGGUGAGUAACACGUGAGUGAUCUGCCCCCAACUUGGGUAUAAGCCUGGGAAACUGGGUCUAAUUCCCGAUAGGACUGCAGGGUGGUGCCUGUGGUGGAAAACGAUUUUCUAGUGGUUGGGGAUGAGCUCGCGGCCUAUCAGCUUGUUGGUGGGGUAAUGGCCUACCAAGGCGGCGACGGGUAGCCGGCCUGAGAGGGUGGACGGCCACAGUGGGACUGAGAUACGGCCCAGACUCCUACGGGAGGCAGCAGUGGGGAAUAUUGCACAAUGGGCGGAAGCCUGAUGCAGCGACGCCGCGUGGGGGAUGACGGCCUUCGGGUUGUAAACUCCUUUCGACCGCGAGGAAGCCACCUGGUUAGAAGGGUGGUGACGGUAGUGGUAGAAGAAGCACCGGCUAACUACGUG
rnacentral:rRNA from 1 species